rnacentral:misc_RNA from 1 species
UUUUUUUUUGGCCGACAAUUGCAUGCGAUUUGCUAUGUGUUGMGGGAGAAUAGGUGGCAUGUUGGGCUUGUUAGAAAGGCAUGCCGCUAGCGCUUAUUUUCCCGCUAUUUCGUAACAACGGUGUCCAAUUUGGCGUCUACGCUUCACCGAGCUAUCGCCUGGACCGUCGGUAGCGAUGAAAGGUGGAGAGAAAGCUCCUCGUUUCGAGUCGAGUAGACUCAAUGAGCCUCAGCUUGGAGGCCGCCAAAACUCAAAAAACACAAUCACUUUUGAAAAUCUAUUCUAAUGAAAGAUGCUAAAUUUUGUUUAGUAUCUUCGAAUUGUAAGAUGAA